UAGGUGUUUUCGUCGUUGCAUAAAGUAGUUCCUGUAUGAUUUUUUUUCUUAUUUAGUUUAAAGGCAGAGAGCAGUUCCUAUUGAGAAUAUUUGUGACAUAUUACUAUAUGAAUGAUAAAAUAUUAUAUGACAAUUAGUCAUUACAUUACAGAAGCAUUGUAAAUAACAUUUACGUGUGCGUAGCAAUACAACUAGCCCGAGCGAGUGUCCCUCUAUCUUCUGCUUGUGUCAUAUAUAUACGUUUAGCCAAUCCUAUUCCCUACUGUUUAUUCCUCGCCAUUACCCGCUUUCAUCCUGGUCCCUGCUGACUUCUCGGUAUCCUUCACCCUCCCAAUACCUUCCUGAAAAACCCGAGUACUUGCAAGUCCAGACAUGGAGCUCCUCUCAUUCUUUGGAGGUGACACUCGCACAUUAGAAAUACAGGGUGUCCAUAUAGUCCCAGUACCAUUACAAGUAUUUAUUGCUCAGAAACCAAAUAACAUAGAGUAAUGCAUUUUUUUGUAGAAUGUUCUACAUUUCCUCAAGUUUACAUUCAGAGCAUUUCAUUCUACAAAAAAGUGCAUUACUCUUGUUAUAUGGUUGCUGAGCAAAAAUACUUGUAGUGGUACUGGGACUUUAUGGACACCCUGUAGCACUCUUAACACAAGAUUGCAUUAAUCUGCAUAUUCCAGUGAACUUUAAGAUUUACCACAGAUCUUUGACCAACUUUGAGCUUAUAAUAAUACACCUAAAAGGAACCUUAUCUCUGGAAGAUGCCCAUUGUAUACUGUGCCCCCAUACGCUGAUUCUUUGUAUUGAAGAAUGUCUGUUGUGAGCAGGUCACUAGAAAUAUAUGAUUUUUUUUAUUUGUAAGCAUUUUUGCUCCAAAGAUGGAAGUAUAUUGAACAAAGCAAUUGCAUGUUAUGUGUGGGAAGUAUAUUGAACAAAGCAGUUGAAAUUUAUGUGUGGGAAGUAUACUGAACAAAGCAGUAAAAAAUUUUUGGUUUGGGAAAUAUUAAACAAAGCAAUUUAAAGUUAUGUGUGGGAGGUAUAUUGAACAAAGCAGUUGAAAGUUGUGUGUGGGAAAUAUUCUGAACAAAGCAGUUGAAAGUUAUUUGUGGAAAGUAUAUUGAACAAAGCAGUUAAAAGUUGUUUGGUUUGGAAAGUAUAUUGAACAAAGCAGUUAAAAGCGUUUUGGUUUGGGAAGUAUAUUGAACAAAGCAGUUGAAAGUGAUUUGGUUUGGGAAGUAUGUUGUACAAAGCAAUUGAAAGUCUUGUGGUCAAGAACUGUCAGUAGGUAGCAUACUUGUGCCUAGUCGUGCCAUCCAAAAUAUAAUUGAGUUUUCAUGAGUUCCCUAAUUAAUUUACUUGCUUGUCAGCCAGUUACCGUGCAAUUCAGUUUGUCAGCCAGUUACCGUGCAUUUGAAUUGCGUAAAGGAAGCAGAUUAAGAGUGGUUAAUGAUAGGCAAGGUGGUUUCUGUGGCAACAAAUUGUCAAUAAAAAAAUUUUUUUUU